rnacentral:miRNA from 1 species
UGAACAUGAUAAAGGGUAUAUAUAUAUGUCAUAUGUGUGUGUGUGUGUGUGUGUGUGUGUGUAUAUAUAUACCCAUACAUAUAAACAC